rnacentral:rRNA from 1 species
UAUAAUAGUAUACAGUGAAACUGCGAAUGGCUCAUUAAAACAGUUAUAGUUUAUUUGAUAAUGGAAAGCUACAUGGAUAACCGUGGUAAUUCCAGAGCUAAUACAUGCUGUUAAACCCGACUUUUUGGAAGGGUUGUAUUUAUUAGAUAUUAAAGCCAAUAUUCCUUCGGGUCUAUUGUGGUGAAUCAUAGUAACUGAUCGAAUCCCUUUACGGGAUAAAUCAUUCAAGUUUCUGCCCUAUCAGCUUUCGAUGGUAGUGUAUUGGACUACCAUGGCAGUUACGGGUAACGGAGAAUUAGGGUUCGGUUCCGGAGAGGGAGCCUGAGAAACGGCUACCACAUCUAAGGAAGGCAGCAGGCGCGUAAAUUACCCAAUCCCGAUUCGGGGAGGUAGUGACAAGAAAUAACAACCUGGGGGACUUUGUCCUUACGGGAUUGCAAUGAGAACAAUUUAAACGACUUAUCGAGGAACAAUUGGAGGGCAAGUCUGGUGCCAGCAGCCGCGGUAAUUCCAGCUCCAAUAGCGUAUAUUAAAGUUGUUGCAGUUAAAAAGCUCGUAGUUGAACUUCUGUACGUGCCCGGUUCUGGCUUCGGUCAAGCUGUGGUGCGUGCAUCCGCUUGCAAACCUGGNCCGGCCUUUACUGGUCGACCAGGGGAAGUAGGCCUUUUACUUUGAAAAA